rnacentral:misc_RNA from 1 species
GAUGAAGAACGUAGCGAAAUGCGAUAAGUAAUGUGAAUUGCAGAAUUCAGUGAAUCAUCGAAUCUUUGAACGCACCUUGCACCCUUUGGCAUUCUGAAGGGUAUGCUCGUUUGAGUGUCAUUGUACUCUCACACUCCCGAUCUUUGCAUUGGGAGCAGUGGACUUGGGUUUGCUGCUUCACCGUCGCUUACCUCAAAUAGGUUAGUGCAACUCUUGGUUGGACAUAGUACGGCGUGAUAAGUGUUCUUCGCCGGUGCCUCGCAAAGAGGGUGGCCGAUCGGGAUGUUGUGCUCCAAACCGUCUUCGGACAAUCUCUGACGACUUGAGCUCAAAUCGAGUAAGACUACCCGCUGAACUUAAGCAUAUCAAUAAGCGGAGGA